rnacentral:lncRNA from 1 species
CCAGCGCCAGGCACAGCGUGCAGCCCCACGCCAUAGCCGCCCCCUCUCACCGCCGCCAGCCCCCUCCCGACGCCUCGUUUUAUCAGGGCGGCGGCGCGGCGGGAGCCGCCCCCGCUGCCUCAAGCCAGCGCCGGCCUCCUCUUCCCCGCCUCCUCCGGCUGCCCCUUCCACCCCCCCGUUUCCCCGCCGGGCAGGGGCAGUGCACGCUCCGCUCCGCACGGCCGCCCGCCCCCCGCCGCGGCCUGCCCUUGCUCCCGGCGGGAGCCCCACGGCGGCCGGGGCCGGAGGGUGAAGGCGGCCGCGGGGCUGGCGCGGUCAAUCAGCGGCGGGUUUGUGGGGGAGAGGCCGUGCGUGUGACCGAGGUGCGAAGUUAUGCAGUAUUGAGAAGACCUUGUGCAAAGUGUAACAGCACAGUGGAACUGGGGGGUGAAUGGAUUGAGUGCUAUCCUGUGGAGAACAACUUGGGGAUACUGGUGGAUGAAAAAUUGGACAUGAACCUGCAAUGUGCGGUUGCAGCCCGCAUCCACCCCCUCUCCUCUGAUCUGGUGAGACCCCACCUGAAGUACUGCGUCCAGCUCUGGGGCCCCCAGCACAAAAAAGACAUGGACAUGUUCAGAGGAGAGCCAUGAAGACGAUCAGAGGACUGGAGCACCUCUGCUAUGAAGACAGACUGAGAGAGUUGCGGUUGCUCAGCCUGGAGAAGAGAAGGUGCUGAGAAGACCUUAUUGUGAUCUUUUAACAGAUGAAGGCGCUUAUAAGAAACACAGAGUUUUUACCAGGGGCUGUAGUGACAGCGCAAGGGGCACCGUUUUUAAAGUGGGUAAAUGUAGAUUGGGUUUAAGGAAAAAAAAUGUUUACUGUGAGGGUGGUGAGACACUGGCCCAGGUUGCCCAGGGAAGUCGUGGAGGUGUUCAAGGCCAGGUUGGACGGGGCUUUAAGCAACCUGGUCUAGAGAAAGUUGUCCCUGCCCACAGCAGGGGGGUUGGAACUCAAUGAUCUUUAAGGUCACUUCCAACCCAAACUAUUCUGUGAUUCUAUGAUUCCAUAAAACGAGUAAAUUUUCACAGAUUUAUGGGUGAAGUGCUUCCUCUGUGAAUGUUCACAAGGGGGCCUCAGAUGACUUGAUGCCAGCCCUAGUAAUAAUACUGUGAGAACAUGGGUGUGAAUGUUUUCCAUGGUACUGUGAUGCAAUUUCUUUGAUGAGUAAAUACAGCUCCAGUGCAAUUAUCUGAGAAUGUUUUAGUGUCUGUGUAAAACAUAGAUUUGAAAAAUUGUCUGACUUCAGUAAAUUAUUUAUGUGGGUACAGUAACAUUAAAAUGAACAGCAAUAAGCAGCACUAUAUUCCUUCUUCCUCUAUUUCCUCUUCCACUGUGAGUGAAACAGAACAGCUUCUAAGGAGAAAAGCUCUUUGCUUUGUUUAGGAAAACAAAAUUUUAAGGAGAAUCCAUCACAGAAUGAGUACAAGUGAAGUAAGGGCAGAUUUGACCCCAUGCUGUGUGCUUCCUAUGCCAUAUGCUUUCGUUUUGCUAGAAUAGGAGAUAAACACACAUCCAGACAAAGACAGUCCCAUGUGAAUGUAACAGAGUGCCAAAACACUCCUUGCAUAGAUCUUUCUACAGCUUUUAUUU